rnacentral:misc_RNA from 1 species
AAUUGUCGGGCUAGGUCUCUUUUUUCUAAGAGUAGGCCUCAGCUUGGUAUUGGGCUUUGCUGUGUCCGUUCAUUUGGGAUAGCUGGCCUUAAAGACAUUAGCUGACCUCCGAUGUGGAAUUGGUUCUACUCAGCGUGAUAAUAACAUGACCGCUGAGGACAUCUUUCGUGAUGGCCAGCUCCUGUUGGGGUUGCUUCUAAUCAAUAGGUAUCGCGGAUCCCCCUUUUGUGGUGGAUCUGUUGUUUGCCUCUUUCA